UUGGAGGGCAAGUCUGGUGCCAGCAGCCGCGGUAAUUCCAGCCCCAAUAGCGUAUAUUAAAGUUGUUGCAGUUAAAAAGCUCGUAGUUGAAUUUCGGGGUUAGUAGGUUGGUCAUGCCUCUGGUAUGUACUGGUCUCACUGAUUCCUCCUUCCUGAUGAGCCGUAAUGCCAUUAAUUUGGUGUUGCGGGGAAUUUGGACUGUUACUUUGAAAAAAUUAGAGUGUUUAAAGCAAGCUAACGCUUGAAUACAUUAGCAUGGAAUAAUGAAAUAGGACGUUCGAUCCUAUUUUGUUGGUUUCUAGGAUUGACGUAAUGAUUAAUAGGGAUAGUUGGGGGCAUUAGUAUUCAAUUGUCAGAGGUGAAAUCCUUGGAUUUAUUGAAGACUAACUACUGCGAAAGCAUUUGCCAAGGAUGUUUUCAUUAAUCAAGAACGAAAGUUAGGGGAUCGAAGACGAUCAGAUACCGUCGUAGUCUUAACCAUAAACUAUGCCGACUAGGGAUCGGAUGAUGUUAAUUUUUUAAUGACUCAUUCGGCGCCUUACGGGAAAC
rnacentral:rRNA from 1 species